AUAAAUUAAUAAGUGCAAAUGGCGGAUGCCUAGGCACCAGAAGCCGAUGAAGGUCGUAGGAGGCUGCGAAAAGCCUCGGGGAGCCGCCAACCAGGCUUCGAUCCGAGGAUUACCGAAUGGGGAAACCCGGCUGGAGUAAUGUCCAGUCAUUUCUCUCUGAAUAAAUAGGAGAGUCAAAGGUAACGAGGGGAAGUGAAACAUCUCAGUACCCUCAGGAAGAGAAAACAACCGUGAUUCCGUUAGUAGUGGCGAGCGAAAGCGGAAGAGGCUAAACCAAUCAUGUGCCAAGCCGGCAGGCGUUGCAUGAUCGGUGUCGUGGGACUAAAUGAAAUUAACUGCCGUUAAUUUAACAAGUCAGAAAAUAAUGAAAUAGAUGAAGGACGUGGGAAAGUCCGGCAUAGAAGGUGAGACCCCUGUAGUCGAAAUUUCAUUAUCUUGUUUUUAGUAUCCCAAGUAAUACAGGACUCGUGUAAUCCGGUAUGAAUCUGGCGGGACCACCCGCUAAGCCUAAAUACUCUCUGGUGACCGAUAGUGAACAAGUACCGUGAGGGAAAGGUGAAAAGAACCCCGCAAGGGGAGUGAAAUAGAAUCUGAAACCGUUUGCAUACAAACCGUUGGAGCUGCCUUGUGCAGUGACAGCGUGCCUUUUGAAGAAUGAGUCUACGAGUUAGUGUGAUGUGGCAAGGUUAACCCGUCGAGGGGAAGCCGUAGCGAAAGCGAGUCUGAAUAGGGCGAAUAAGUUGCAUCAUCUAAACCCGAAGCGAGGUGAUCUCGCCAUGACCAGGUUGAAGCGCGGGUAAGACCGCGUGGAGGACCGAACCCACUAAAGUUGAAAAUUUAGGGGAUGAGUUGUGGCUAGGGGUGAAAGACCAAUCAAACUUCGUGAUAGCUGGUUCUCUCCGAAAUGCAUUUAGGUGCAGCGUCGCGUGUUUCUUACUGGAGGUAGAGCUACUGGAUGGCCGAGGGGUCCUACAAGAUUACCAACGUCAGCCAAACUCCGAAUGCCAGUAAGUGAGAACGUGGCAGUGAGACAGUGGGGGAUAAGCUUCAUUGUCGAGAGGGAAACAACCCAGAACAGCAACUAAGGUCCCAAAGCCUGUGCUAAGUGGAAAAGGAUGUGAAGUCGCAUAGACAACCAGGAGGUUGGCUUAGAAGCAGCCACCCUUAAAAGAGUGCGUAAUAGCUCACUGGUCAAGUGAUUUCGCGCCGACAAUGUAACGGGGCUCAAGCACAGCACCGACGUUCUGUCAUUCACACACUAUCCCGGUCGCAAGAUCCAGGAGUGUGGAUGGGUAGGAGAGCGUUGUGUAACUAGUGAAGCGGCGGAGGAAUCCAGCCGUGGAAGUUACACAAGUGAGAAUGUAGACAUGAGUAGCGAAAGACGGGUGAGAAACCCGUCCACCGAAUGACCAAGGGUUCCUGAGCUAGGCUAAUCCGCUCAGGGUAAGUCGGGUCCUAAGGCGAGGCCGACAGGCGUAGUCGAUGGACAACUGGUUGAUAUUCCAGUACCCGCAAUAAACCGUCCAUGACGAAUCAAUAAUGCUAAGUGUUUGAAGUUGGCUAGCAAUAGCUGAUGGAGCGCACGACCCAAGUUGUUAGUAGUCAAGCAAUGGAGAGACGCAGGAAGGUAGUCCAACCCAGGCGAUGGUUGACCUGGGGUAAGAGUGUAGGAGGUUCUGUAGGAAAAUCCGCAGAACAAUCUCUGAGACUUGAUGCCGAGCCGUAAGGCGAAGUGGAUGAUCCUAUGCUGCCAAGAAAAUCUUCUAGCGAGGUUUAUAGUGGCCCGUACCCGAAACCGACACAGGUGGUCAGGUAGAGAAUACCAAGGUGAUCGAGAGAAUCGUGGUGAAGGAACUCGGCAAAAUACCCCCGUAACUUCGGGAGAAGGGGGGCUAAUUUUUGUGUAGAGGUUUACCUUCGAAGCAUAAGUUAGACGCAGAGAAUAGGCUCAAGCGACUGUUUACCAAAAACACAGGUCCGUGCGAAGUUGCAAAACGAUGUAUACGGACUGACGCCUGCCCGGUGCUGGAAGGUCAAGGGGACUAGUUAGCUCUUCGGAGCGAAGCUGAGAACUUAAGCCCCAGUAAACGGCGGUGGUAACUAUAACCAUCCUAAGGUAGCGAAAUUCCUUGUCGGGUAAGUUCCGACCUGCACGAAUGGCGUAACGACUUGAGCGCUGUCUCCACCAUGAACUCGGCGAAAUUGCAGUACGAGUAAAGAUGCUCGUUACGCGCGGAAAGACGGAAAGACCCCGGGACCUUUACUAUAUCUUGAUAUUGGUACUCGGAACGUUCUGUGUAGCAU
rnacentral:rRNA from 1 species